AAACUUUCAACAAUGGAUCUCUUGGCUCUCGCAUCGAUGAAGAACGCAGCGAAAUGCGAUAAGUAAUGUGAAUUGC
rnacentral:rRNA from 1 species